rnacentral:lncRNA from 1 species
GCUGAGCUGGAAAAAGGAGCGGAUGAGUGAAACUAGUCUGCUCCAAGAGUGUCUUCCCUUUGUGGGGGAGAGAUGCUUGCCUGAGCCCGUGGCCAGGGCAUCUGGCCUUUUAUCUGUGCUUUCUCUGUGAUGAGUCGGUCACUAGCAGAGGUGCUGUGUGGAUCCUGUCUCAGAGGUCUUAUUUCCUAGAGAAGGCAAAGCCUGCCGGAGGGGAUGCUGGAGAAAAUGGUCAUGUGGAACCUUCCAGCUGGUCCGACUGGUCAUUGUGUCUGCUCCGAGAAAGUGUGAAAGCGUCACUUCCUGUGCCAGGACUUCCCUCUGAGAGCCAAGAGCUGGAGCGAUGUGCCAGGGACCAGCCUGGAUGAUGCGUGAAGUCUCUUGGGAGAGAUGGCUGGAAGGCAAGAUUCACAAGACAGAAAACAGAGAUGACCCUGAAGUUGAAAGGCUUGAACCUAGCUGGGUGAUGGAUUACCCCGAGACCGCCCUGAUUUUGUUCUCUAAUUACUGUGUUUAUUUGGUGCGUCAUAUUGGGCCUGAAACCCUUAAUACCAGCCGGUGCUGUUCAUUGUUACGAUGUCCUAAUUAAGCUUUGAUUUAUAUGCUAAUUUUAUUCCAAGUGUGUUCGAAAGGGGGAAAGUUAUUAGACUUUAUUUUGAGAUUACAUUUUAAUCCUGGGGUC